CGGGUGCACUGAUCCAGCCGGGCCUUUCCCUCUGUGGAACCCCAUGGCCUUCACUGGCUGUGGUGGGGAAACAGGACUUUUACUUUGAAAAAAUUAGAGUGCUCCAGGCAGGCCUAUGCUCGAAUACAUUAGCAUGGAAUAAUAGAAUAGGACGUGUGGUUCUAUUUUGUUGGUUUCUAGGACCGCCGUAAUGAUUAAUAGGGACAGUCGGGGGCAUCAGUAUUCAAUUGUCAGAGGUGAAAUUCUUGGAUCUAUUGAAGACUAACUACUGCGAAAGCAUUUGCCAAGGAUGUUUUCAUUGAUAAGGAACGAAAGUUAGGGGAUCGAAGACGAUCAGAUACCGUCGUAGUCUUAACUAUAAACUAUGCCGACUAGGGAUCGGACGAUGUUAUUCUUUGACGCGUUCGGCACCUUUCGAGAAAUCAAAGUGCUUGGGCUCCAGGGGGAGUAUGGUCGCAAGGCUGAAACUUAAAGAAAUUGACGGAAGAGCACCACCAGGGGUGGAACCUGCGGCUUAAUUUGACUCAACACGGGGAAACUCACCAGGUCCAGACACAGUGAGGAUUGACAGAUUGAGAGCUCUUUCUUGAUUCUGUGGGUGGUGGUGCAUGGCCGUUCUUAGUUGGUGGAGUGAUUUGUCUGCUUAAUUGCGAUAACGAACGAGACCUUAACCUGCUAAAUAGCCCGUACUGCUUUGGCAGUUCGCCGGCUUCUUAGAGGGACUAUCGG
rnacentral:rRNA from 1 species